rnacentral:misc_RNA from 1 species
UUAUUAAAUUAUCAUGAUCAUGUUACUAUAUUAUUAAUUACUUUGAAAAUAUUGUACCCUAUUUACCCUUUAUUUUUAUAUAGCUGACGUUAAUGUUUGCCUUUUUUAUUAUUUAUAUAAUAAAAAAUGAUAUAAUAGAAGUUA